rnacentral:rRNA from 1 species
GAUGAACGCUGGCGGCGUGCUUAAUACAUGCAAGUCGAACGAACCGAGCCUAGCAGGAAGCUUGUAGAGCGUGAGGCGUGGGAGAAAUCUCACAAGGCACAGGAAGCAAGGGGAGAGCUAAAAUCGGUUAGUGGCGGACGGGUGAGUAACACGUGGGUGACCUACCCCAAAGUGGGGAAUAACUGUUCGAAAGGACAGCUAAUUCCGCAUGUGGUCCAUCUUUCGGUAGGUGGAUUAAAGGCGCAAGUCGCUUUGGGAGGGGCCCGCGGCCGAUUAGCUAGUUGGUGGGGUAAAGGCCUACCAAGGCUGGGAUCGGUAGCUGGUCUGAGAGGAUGAUCAGCCACACUGGCACUGAGACACGGGCCAGACUCCUACGGGAGGCAGCAGUAAGGAAUAUUGGACAAUGGGGGAAACCCUGAUCCAGCAACGCCGCGUGGGCGAUGAAGGUCUUCGGAUCGUAAAGCCCUUUUCUGAGGGAAGAGAGAGGACGGUACCUCAGGAAUAAGUCUCGGCUAACUACGUGCCAGCAGCCGCGGUAAAACGUAGGAGGCGAGCGUUAUCCGGAUUUACUGGGCGUAAAGCGCGUGCAGGCGGUCAUACAAGUUGGGCGUGAAAUCUCCUGGCUUAACUGGGAGGGGUCGUCCAAGACUGUAUGACUUGAGGGCAGAAGAGGGAAGCAGAAUUCCCGGUGUAGCGGUAAUAUGCGCAGAUAUCGGGAGGAAUACCAGUGGCGAAGGCGGCUUCCUGGUCUGUCACUGACGCUAAGACGCGAAAGCUAGGGGAGCGAACGGGAUUAGAUACCCCGGUAGUCCUAGCUGUAAACGAUGGAUACUAGGUGUUGGUGGUAUUGACCCCACCAGUGCCGAAGCAAACGCGUUAAGUAUCCCGCCUGGGGACUACGACCGCAAGGUUA